rnacentral:snRNA from 1 species
GAGUCUGAGUGAAGGGAGAGAAGGUUGGCACUUCCCUUGAUAAGAAUGGAAGAGGUCAGGGAUCCCU